UACGUAGGAGGCAAGCGUUUGUCCGGAAUUACUGGGCGUAAAGCGCGUGUAGGCGGAUGCCUAAGUCUGUGGUGAAAGCGCCUGGCUUAACCGGGCGAGGUCCAUGGAAACUAGGCGUCUGGAGGCCGGUAGAGGAGCGCGGAAUUCCCGGUGUAGCGGUGAAAUGCGUAGAGAUCGGGAGGAGGCCGGUGGCGAAGGCGGCC
rnacentral:rRNA from 1 species